AACGAACGCUGGCGGCAGGCUUAACACAUGCAAGUCGAACGAGAAGCUUUCCUUCGGGAAAGUGGAAAGUGGCAGACGGGUGAGUAACGCGUGGGAACCUACCUAGUGGUACGGAAUAACUCAGGGAAACUUGUGCUAAUACCGUAUGAGCCCUUCGGGGGAAAGAUUUAUCGCCAUUAGAUGGGCCCGCGUCAGAUUAGCUAGUUGGUGAGGUAACGGCUCACCAAGGCGACGAUCUGUAGCUGGUCUGAGAGGAUGAUCAGCCACACUGGGACUGAGACACGGCCCAG
rnacentral:rRNA from 1 species